AACGAACGCUGGCGGCAUGCCUAACACAUGCAAGUCGAACGAGACCUUCGGGUCUAGUGGCGCACGGGUGCAUAACGCGUGGGAAUCUGCCCUUGGGUUCGGGAUAACAGUUGGAAACGACUGCUAAUACCGGAUGAUGUCUUCGGACCAAAGAUUUAUCGCCCAAGGAUGAGCCCGCGUAGGAUUAGCUUGUUGGUGAGGUAAGAGCUCACCAAGGCGACGAUCCUUAGCCGGUCUGAGAGGAUGAUCAGCCACACUGGGACUGAGACACGGCCCAGACUCCUACGGGAGGCAGCAGUGGGGAAUAUUGGACAAUGGGCGAAAGCCUGAUCCAGCAAUGCCGCGUGAGUGAUGAAGGCCUUAGGGUUGUAAAGCUCUUUUACCCGGGAUGAUAAUGACAGUACCGGGAGAAUAAGCCCCGGCUAACUCCGUGCCAGCCGCCGCGGUAA
rnacentral:rRNA from 1 species